CAGUAACAGGGGAAGCAGCAGUCGUGUGGUUUCACUCUGAGCUUAGUCAUGAGGAAAGAGCUGCUGUUUACACACUGUGGUUCUAGUGGAGGCGGAGCGUCCCGUAAACACACGUCACCAUAUUAACACCACGAGUCACCUGGAAACAAGACGGAGCGCAUUACUCUCACCGGAGGUCUUCAGAAACGUGACCCAGAGGCUGAACCAGGUCAACAACUAGCACUCAAACCAGAACCAUGACCUGCACCUGUUACAGCAUCUGGUUUGAGCUCCUGUCUCUUUAAAAAGCUCUCCUGAUAACGCCACGCCCACAGCAUGACAUGACCACAGCAUCACAUGACCAUAGCAUGACAUGACCACAGCAUAACAUGAAAUGUCACUUACUUAUUGCACUUUGUAGUUUGGUUUUCUUGAAGAAUUAGAACUUUCUGAUUCUUGUUGCUCUGGGUUUGUACCUCAUGGUUGAUGCACUUAUUGUGACUCACUUUAGAUAAAAGCUCAAUGAAACUUUCUUUUUUUUUAAACCAGCACCACAUAAAAAAGAAAAUGUCACAUAAUACAGAUCAUCUCUGAUUGGCCUCUAAGUUGCUAUGACAACCAUGUCAAUCAGAAGUUUACUGAAAUAAAACAAACGAUCAAUCACAGAAAUCCCUGACAUUCCCUUAAAGUAAGGAAUAAACCAAACAGGUGUGUGGUCAUUAUGUGUCACUUCCUGUGUGGGAGGAGUCAUAAUGCAGCGGUGCUGUACUCACAGUGGACUGUGAGUUUGAAGGCCGGGCUUUUCUCUUUCUCCAGAUUGUUGGCAGCAGUGCAGAAGAUUGGACCAAUCAGAUCCGACCUGAGAACAGGUUUGAUGGUCAGUGUGCUGGUCAUCUCCUCCUGUGACAUCAUCAAUGAGUCGUUUUCCAUCAUCGACGAUGGGGGCGGAGCCAUUGGUCCAGGUAAACUUGAGUAAGGAGCCCUGAGCCGAGCACGUGAGGACGACGGUGCUUUUGUUUUCCACGGCCUCUGGCAAGUUUGAC